rnacentral:tRNA from 1 species
GGUAAUAUAGCUCAGCAGCAUAAGCACCUGCCUUGCAAGCAGACGGUCGUAAGUUCGAUUCCUGGUACCG